UGGCUGGCUCAGCUGGUUGAGUGUCUGACUCUUGAUUUCAGCUCAGGUCAUGAUCUCACGGUCCGUGAGUUCGAGCCCCGCGUCAGGGUCAGCACUGACAGCACGUAGUCUGCUUGGGAUUCUCUCUCUCAAAAUAAAUAAA